AUGGGAACCUGGCUAAAUCGGAGGAAUUGCAGAAGGUUCUCCAGCUCCUCUAGUGCUUCUAUUCCAGAAUCUCUUAACCUUCGUGGUGGAAUAAUAAGGGUCUCCACCGAAUCCUGCAAACAGGGAGGAAGGUCUCCCUCCCCCGGAGGCCAAGGCAGCAGCGCUGGGGGUAGGAGCAGGAAGGAACCGGCAGCCCGCGCUUCCCAACGCUGCCGGGCAGGCUCCCGCGCCGAGCAAAACUCCGAGGCUGCCGCUGGGCAGUCGCGUCCAACGUACCUGAGCCCAGCCUGCAGCAGUCAAUGUCGCCGCCGCAAGGGCCUGUCCCGGCGCACUUUCCUUCUGUUGCAGCCCCUCAGAAGCCCGGAGUGCAGGCAGGGGAGGCGCGGCGGGCACCGCGGCCAGGUCAGUUCGUCAGCUGCCUGCUCCCAAGCGAGGUGCCGCCGACCCCGCCGCGCCCGACCGAGCCCCGCGCUCCGCAGCGUGGGAAGGAGCCGAGCUGCGGCCCUAGCUCCGACAGCCCGGGGCCGGCAACUACCCCAUUCCUCCUGCAGCCGUGAGGCCGCGGGUGGCCCGGGCGCUGGCGAGCAGCCGCUUCUCGGGCAGGCAGAGGCCGACUCCGGGUCCUCAGCCAGCCGCCGUGUGGGCCUCCUCUGCACUGCCUCCCGUGGCGCCCGGAUCCGCCUGGCUGCGGCUGCUUCUCCAGGGAUUCACUCUAGUUUCAUCUUCAUGUCAGGAGACAUGCUUCAACCACAUGUCUUUUUCUGGAAGAAAUAUUUUACCAGUUGUACUUGCUCAAGGCAGGUCAGCCAUAGAGCAGAAUUGAAGAUAUGGAUACUCCAAAGAAGAGAUAAAGUGUGGACAGGGAAAAAAGGUAGGGAGAUGUUUAUCAAAAUCAUGGGAUUAACCUUCCUGGACAUGGAAGGUUAAUCAUGAGCCUCCCUUAUAGUAAUAUGCUGAUUUUACAGAACAAGGAGGUGUUGACAAAAAAAGUCAAACUCUGUAAAAUGUUUGAAGAUAUUUAUUGAGUGCCAAACAUAAGUGACCGUGUCCCAUGACACAGCCCCCAGGAGGUCCUGAAAACAUGUGCCCAAGGUGGUUGGAGUGCAGCUUGGUUUUAUACAUUUUAAGGAAGCAUGAGACAUCAAUCAAAUACAUUUAAGAUAUACAUUGGUUUGGUUCAGAAAGGGGGGACAACUCAAAGCAGGGAGGGGCUUCCAGGCUAUAGGUAAAUUUAAACAUUUUCUGGUUGACAGUUGAUUGAGUUUGCCUAAAGACCUGGGAUGUUAGAAAGGAAAUGUUCA
rnacentral:lncRNA from 13 species